GCCGGAGUGGCGGAAUUGGCAGACGCGCCGGACUCAAAAUCCGGUGGAGGUGAUACUCCGUGUGGGUUCGAGUCCCACCUCCGGCA
rnacentral:tRNA from 1 species